GUGUACAGUUUCACAAUGGUAUAUCUUCUUCCUUCUCUACCUCUUUCGCUAUCUCUUUUGUUAUUUCGGUAUCACACCGAAACAAGAUGGUGUUCGAAUCGGUUUACGUUUGUCGUUGUUUUCAAUGUCUUUACUUCGUUCCUGAUUUAUGUGAUGUUCCAGACAAGUUGUAACUUAUCUCUUAUUUGUGUUUUUGGAGGAUUCAUGAGAUUAAGUCUGGAUCGAGUUUUAUCGCUAUGGUGAAGCUAACAAGACACCACAGAAGGCUUGAGCUUAGAAGUUAUUGAAUCCAAAAUCUUGAAGUGACCGCAGAAACUACCUUUUUAUAUUUUUUUUCCAUGAAUGCAGUUAGACAAUGGUGAUAUCAUAUGCUUUCAUAAAGCUUCUGCAAUGGGUAACAGGAGGAAUUAAAUAUACUGUUAAAGCUUCAUUGGUUACAUGAUUGGUCAAAACUUUCUCGAUGUUUGCAUAGGUUCAAGUGAUGGAAUUGUUUUUGUAUGAGAGGUUUUCAGAUUAGUCAUAAUUUGGCUUGGGGAACAAAGACAUAAGCCCAGCAGAGAAAAUGAUCUCUUUAUCUGAAGUUGUGAAGGAGCAUUGGACAACCUAUGGUAUAAAUUUAAAUGCUUAGGCUAUUGUUGGUCUGGGUUGAAAGUUAAAAGAUAUUCUAAUACUGGAAACUGUUUUUACAGCACUCAUUUAUAGCUUAUUUCGAAAAUGGUGUUUGAGAGCUAUGCCUUGAAGCAACUUGUGGUGGGCAGCUUGAAAGUGAGAUGGAAGAUCAAUAAAACCAUCAUACAUUAUGUAAAUAUAACUUAUUAAAAAAGAAUUCAUUUUAGUUUUUUGGUACUAUAAGAAUUGAAUGUUAUAAUGUGUCUACAAAGGAAAUAACAUAUUUUUAUAAUAUGCCAAUUUAU